AGACGAGAGGCCAAAUAACAGUCC
rnacentral:misc_RNA from 1 species